CUCGUUACCCCAGGCCGGGGCCCCACGUGUGAGGCUGGGGCCCGAGGCUCAGUGCCAGGCCACCUUCUGAGGGGCUCGUCUUCGAAGGCUCCUUAGCCUUCCCGGUUGAAAGUUCAGAUGCCAUCCUGACCCCGGCCGGGCAGCUGGCCUCUGUCCACUCAGAGCGCUUUGGAAAGUAGACUCCGAGAGAGUUAUCCAACCACCAUUUCUUGGAAUCGUAACCGGCGGAGGGUUGCUGCAAUACUUUGGAUUAUCUUGUUUUCCUUAUCCGUGGAAGCCAAGAUUUUAGUGCUACAUCUGUGGCCUGCCAGUCUGCCCUCAGACACCCAAAGGACAAAGCUCUCGAGGGCUCAGCACGGCCGGUGCCAACUUGCAGGUAUCCUUAGCAGCGUGCCAAUCACAGCCCAUCUUGCUGGACCCCACUGUGCCCACUGCAGGCGCUGCUUGGGUCACUGUGUGUCCUGCCGACAGCGGCCCUGGGCCUCUCAUUACUCCCAGGGCCCCAUGAGGGAGGUCUCCUGUGGCACGUUUCCUGCCGUGUCCCACCGCCAUCUGCUCAAAGCCAGGGGCAACUUGGUCCCAGAUCCUGGCAGCCUGGCUUCAUCAGACGCCUUCUCCCGGCCCACCCGCUGCCAACACCCGCCUGGAUUCCAGUCCUAAAGGCAGCUGUCGUUGGUAUCAGGGAGUGAAGUCUCCCUCAGCCAUUCAUUUCACAGACUGGGACCCAUCUGGCCGGACGCUGCUCCCAGCCAUCCAUCAUCUCUGCGGUCGGCAGCAUCUGCCAAACCCCGAGGAUCGCCCCAUAUUUUGGCAAACGAAUGAACUCAGGAUCUGUCAAUGCGAGGUUUUGCUGGAGGCAGGCCUGGCUUUGGGCAGGGCGGGGUCCCAGAGCUGACAGCAGGGGGCCCCUGCUCAGAGGAGGCGGCGCCCUAAGGGGCCCCCCUGCAGCCACCCCAACCGCAGCAAGGCCCUGCUGUGGGGCGCUGCGUAAUUGGUUCUGCAUGGUGCUUCGGAAGGAGCUGGUGGGGAGGCCCCUGUCAGACCCCACAGCGACUUCCCACCCUAACCUGGUCCCAAUUAGGGAUCUGCAGGGCUGAGGGGCCUCGAAUUUAUUCACAAAGCUCUUUGACCAAAUUCUGCCUCCUUGGAGUUGUGUUUAUUCAUAAGAGUGCAGGGUGUUCUUUUG